AAUAGAUACCCCGGUAGUCCACGCCGUAAACGAUGUCGACUUGGAGGUUGUUCCCUUGAGGAGUGGCUUCCGGAGCUAACGCGUUAAGUCGACCGCCUGGGGAGUACGGCCGCAAGGUUAAAACUCAAAUGAAUUGACGGGGGCCCGCACAAGCGGUGGAGCAUGUGGUUUAAUUCGAUGCAACGCGAAGAACCUUACCUACUCUUGACAUCCAGAGAACUUUCCAGAGAUGGAUUGGUGCCUUCGGGAACUCUGAGACAGGUGCUGCAUGGCUGUCGUCAGCUCGUGUUGUGAAAUGUUGGGUUAAGUCCCGCAACGAGCGCAACCCUUAUCCUUUGUUGCCAGCGGUUCGGCCGGGAACUCAAAGGAGACUGCCAGUGAUAAACUGGAGGAAGGUGGGGAUGACGUCAAGUCAUCAUGGCCCUUACGAGUAGGGCUACACACGUGCUACAAUGGCGUAUACAAAGAGAAGCGACCUCGCGAGAGCAAGCGGACCUCAUAAAGUCGUCGUAGUCCGGAUUGGAGUCUGCAACUCGACUCC
rnacentral:rRNA from 1 species